AUACUCUGGUUUCUCUUCAUAGCGUAUAAAUCUUUCGCCUUUUACUAAAGAUUUCCGUGGAAAGGAACAACCAUGGGUUGAUAUUUAAUUUUUUGAUACCCCACGUUGCUGGGGUG